CCUACGGGCGGCUGCAGUGGGGAAUAUUGCACAAUGGGCGCAAGCCUGAUGCAGCCAUGCCGCGUGUGUGAAGAAGGCCUUCGGGUUGUAAAGCACUUUCAGCGGGGAGGAAGGCGGUGAGGUUAAUAACCUUAUCGAUUGACGUUACCCGCAGAAGCAGCACCGGCUAACUCCGUGCCAGCAGCCGCGGUAAUACGGAGGGUGCAAGCGUUAAUCGGAAUUACUGGGCGUAAAGCGCACGCAGGCGGUCUGUCAAGUCGGAUGUGAAAUCCCCGGGCUCAACCUGGGAACUGCAUUCGAAACUGGCAGGCUAGAGUCUUGUAGAGGGGGGUAGAAUUCCAGGUGUAGCGGUGAAAUGCGUAGAGAUCUGGAGGAAUACCGGUGGCGAAGGCGGCCCCCCGGACAAAGACUGACGCUCAGGUGCGAAAGCGUGGGGAGCAAACAGGAUUAGAUACCCCUGUAGUC
rnacentral:rRNA from 1 species